AGUUCGGAUUGGAGUCUGNAACCCGACUCCAUGAAGCUGGAUUCGCUAGUAAUCGCGCAUCAGCCACGGCGCGGUGAAUACGUUCCCGGGCCUUGUACACACCGCCCGUCAAGCCAUGGAAGCCGGGAGUGCCUGAAGUGCGUGAGCGCAAGCAGCGCCCUAAGGUAAAACCGGUGACUGGGGCUAAGUCGUAACAAGGUAGC
rnacentral:rRNA from 1 species